rnacentral:tRNA from 1 species
GGCCUGUUGGUCUAGGGGUAUGAUUCUCGCUUCGGGUGCGAGAGGUCCCGGGUUCAAGUCCCGGACGGGCCC